AGUGAACGCUGGCGGUAGGCCUAACACAUGCCAGUCGAACGGCAGCACAGUAAGAGCUUGCUCUUACGGGUGGAGAGUGGCGGACGGGUGAGGAAUACAUCGGAAUCUACUUUUUCGUGGGGGAUAACGUAGGGAAACUUACGCUAAUACCGCAUACGACCUACGGGUGAAAGCAGGGGAUCUUCGGACCUUGCGCGAUUGAAUGAGCCGAUGUCGGAUUAGCUAGUUGGCGGGGUAAAGGCCCACCAAGGCGACGAUCCGUAGCUGGUCUGAGAGGAUGAUCAGCCACACUGGAACUGAGACACGGUCCAGACUCCUACGGGAGGCAGCAGUGGGGAAUAUUGGACAAUGGGCGCAAGCCUGAUCCAGCCAUACCGCGUGGGUGAAGAAGGCCUUCGGGUUGUAAAGCCCUUUUGUUGGGAAAGAAAAGCAGCAGGCUAAUACCCCGCUGUUCUGACGGUACCCAAAGAAUAAGCACCGGCUAACUUCGUG
rnacentral:rRNA from 1 species